UGCUCUGCCCUUAGGAGCUGGUUGGACGCUUUGCGCGAUGAUCACGCCUCUUCCGCCAGCAAAUUCGACCUCCCGGCGUCUGGGCGGAGAGUCGCCCAGGGGCAGAGCGCUCAGCUAGGGCGCGUGCGAACUCUUCUGUGGUUUGUAAUCUGGACGUUCUGACUGCUUACUGCCACUCAUCUUUCAACCCUGUGUCACCAGCCUGCUUAUGCCAAUCUCGUCAGUACUUUCUUACCCUCAUGGUGCACAUCUUGGAAUAUUCCUCUCUUUGACACUCCUGGGUUUAUUACUGAUGGGAACCCCUUUCUUCUGGGCGAUGUUCUGCUUCGUCAGAUUUGCAUUCCUGGUGCCCCACUCCUUCUAACUACAGUGUCUCUCCAAGAACAAGUGAAGCGUCUCACCAAGAUCAGGAUGAUGCAGAGAACCAUGGGGUUACCUCGGGGCCCCCUGAUGCAAACAACACAAAAACAGGCUGCAUUUGGCAUGAUCAGAAUCCAGAGAUCGUGGGUGGCCAUCCCAUCAAGGGGAAUUUGCCACUUACUCAGGAGGAGGAUACGCUGUGAGACUUGGAAGAAACUCCAGUCCUGCAGUCAGUCUUACAUUCGUGUUAACACGAGUGAAAGGUGGGACGUUAGAAAUCCUACUUUGCAGGCGGACGAGAUGGGGAAACGCAGCUUCUCACGUGCUGUGUGA
rnacentral:lncRNA from 1 species